rnacentral:rRNA from 1 species
AUUGAACGCUGGCGGCAGGCUUAACACAUGCAAGUCGAGCGGGGGAGAUUACUUCGGUAAUUGACCUAGCGGCGGACGGGUGAGUAAUACUUAGGAAUCUGCCCAUUAAUGGGGGACAACAUCUCGAAAGGGAUGCUAAUACCGCAUACGCCCUACGGGGAAAGCAGGGGAUCACUUGUGACCUUGCGUUAAUAGAUGAG